GACGAACGCUGGCGGCGUGCUUAACACAUGCAAGUCGAACGGAAAGGCCCUGCUUUUGUGGGGUGCUCGAGUGGCGAACGGGUGAGUAACACGUGAGUAACCUGCCCUUGACUUUGGGAUAACUUCAGGAAACUGGGGCUAAUACCGGAUAGGAGCUCCUGCUGCAUGGUGGGGGUUGGAAAGUUUCGGCGGUUGGGGAUGGACUCGCGGCUUAUCAGCUUGUUGGUGGGGUAGUGGCUUACCAAGGCUUUGACGGGUAGCCGGCCUGAGAGGGUGACCGGCGACAGUGGGACUGAGAUACGGCCCAGACUCCUACGGGAGGCAGCAGUGGGGAAUAUUGCACAAUGGGCGGAAGCCUGAUGAAGCAACGCGGCGUGCGGGAUGACGGCCUUCGGGUUGUAAACCGCUUUCGCCUGUGACGAAGCGUGAGUGACGGUAAUGGGUAAAGAAGCACCGGCUAACUACGUG
rnacentral:rRNA from 1 species